GUACGCCGUUCACUCUCGAGCACGCGACGUGAUAUUCGUAAGCUGUUCAACAGAAAGCGUACUUAAUACGUGUGCUGCUCUCCUUCUUCCAGAUACAUUAUGAAGGUCACGAGGAGCCAAAAGCAACGACCGGCGCACAGCUGCGUAUCUAGUUUUGAAAAGGAAAUGCGUCGGCUGCACGUUUUUUCCCCCAGACUCUGCUCCUACAUUUCUCGUUCUCACACUUUUUUGGUUCACUUUCAUAAAGUACUCCCCCCUCCCCCAUCUACUUCCCAGAUGACAUCUUAAAAUGCUGAAAGUAGUUUGUAAAAGCUUUUUCAAAACGCUUUCACUCAAAGUGAGCAAAGGCUUUGUCUGCCCAUCGUGCCUUCGUCUGCAGCCAUUGGCGUUCGUUAGAUCCACGUGGGGCCUGGUGAACAUCUGCCUUCUGUCAGCAUCAGCAGCACAUCUGCCUUGGCAACUACACCUUCUGCUGGCUUUAAAAACACACAGUUAUCACCGUCUUGGCUGCAAGUUAAGAGCACAGCCUGCACCGAAAGGUGGCAGAGGAGCCCCACCAGCCUGGAAAAGCGCCUGUUGCGAAAGCUCAUCGCUGAUCCUCGGUGUGACUUUAGGACCCACGCGGGACCGGCCCAGCGGAGGCCCAUUCAGAAACGACCCACUGAUGAAAAGCAUUCCGUUGGCUCCACCGAGUUUCCUGUAGGAUCGCCCGAUCGCCUUUGCUGCGCAUUUUCGCCACCGCCAUUUCCCCACCUGAACGGGCGCGUCCGGCACGGGACACCAUGGCCCCUCGCGAGCUGCCGCUCUUCGCCCUGCUGCUCGUCUGCGUCGCGUGCUCAGGUACGUUUCCUGCAACCGCACUUUCCUUCUGCGCCUCUUUGCUUUGCGCCGAAGGCACGAGCACAGGAUCCGGCGAAGGACUGCUCCUUUCGAAGUCUAAGAAAAGACAGACGGCAAAACAAAGCGGUCGUCUCCGCAAUCCCACCGUGGCUCCUUGGCCCGAGGACAGAGCGGGGCAGUAGUGCGGGGUAGUCACCGUCAGCCCUCGCCCACAGUUGAGGAGAUGCCCUGCUUUCUUUUAUUGAGCAAGGGUUUUUUUUAUUUAAAAAUCAUCUUCACCCCCCCUUUCCCUUCUGGAAACUGGGAAGUU